UGUAUCCACUUGUAUUUUUGUUUAACUUAUGGAAAAAGACUCUUAAAGACAGAUGCAAAAAAUUAAUCUUUUGCAACUCAGAAUUCAUUGUUCACUAGGAAUUUUAAUUCACAUAAACAGUAUU